rnacentral:lncRNA from 1 species
UUCUCAUUAAUACUCCAUGUUUUUUUCACUUUUAGAUCGUCCGGUUUGUUUUUAUCCUUCAAUACGUUGUCCAAUUCCGUCUCAGUUUCAUAUACCUUUUUUGCUAGUGGCAAGGUUUUCAAAUUCGACUCGGGGAUAAGAACCAUUCGGUUUGCCAUUAUCUACUAAACAGAUCUCCAAUAAUCCUAUUAAUGGUCCGAGUAAUAAUGGUAGAAUUGCACCUCCGGACUGAAUCAAGAAUCUUUUUAUUUUUUCGGCACUCUUCUAUCUGCCAAAAAGGAAAGUCAGUAACUGACGUUUCUGACUUUCCGUGAGAUGUAUGUUUCCUUUUAAUAUGUUGUAAACACAUUCAUUUAUUUUAUCAAGCACCUUGGGAGGACAUGUGUUCAGUAGUGCACUUCUUUCUUCUUUUCCCUUAGCACAUGCUUGGCAUUUUAAUUUUUUUAACUUUUUUAGAAAGCUUUUCUUUUGACCCUGUUCUGUUGUCAUUUCUCCUUUUUUAUGCCUAUUUACAUUGGUCUUAUUGUCGUCUGCUAUUUAUGGUUCUCUCUCUGCUAUUUCAGUGCCCAUCUACACAUAGUUUUGGCGCAGCUUGGUCUUUGAGGCCCUUGCGCCAUAAAACCGCAUACCUACCUACCUACCUAUCUACUGCUUCAUCACCGUUGUUACC